CCUACGGGAGGCAGCAGUGAGGAAUAUUGGUCAAUGGCCGAGAGGCUGAACCAGCCAAGUCGCGUGAGGGAAGACGGCCCUACGGGUUGUAACCCUCUUUUAUCGGGGAGCAAAGCGAACCACGUGUGGUUCAUUGAGAGUACCCGAAGAAAAAGCAUCGGCUAACUCCGUGCCAGCCGCCGCGGUAAUACGGAGGAUGCGAGCGUUAUCCGGAUUUAUUGGGUUUAAAGGGUGCGCAGGCGGAGGUGCAAGUCAGCGGUCAAAUUGCGGGGCGCAAACCCGGACUGCCGUUGAAACUGCAUCCCUUGGGUGCGCGAGAAGUAUGCGGAAUGCGUGGUGUAGCCGGGCAAUGCAUAGAUAUCACGCAGAACUCCGAUUGCGAAGGCAGCAUACCGGCGCGCAACUGACGCUCAUGCACGAAAGCGUGGGUAUCGAACAGGAUUAGAUACCCUAGUAGUC
rnacentral:rRNA from 1 species